rnacentral:rRNA from 1 species
UUUAGACCUCAAAUCAGUCAGGACUACCCGCUGAACUUAAGCAUAUCAAUAAGCGGAGGAAAAGAAACUAACAAGGAUUCCCCUAGUAACGGCGAGUGAAGUGGGAAAAGCUCAACUUUGAAAUCUGGCACCUUCGGUGUCCGAGUUGUAGUCUCAAGAAGUGUUUUCUGUGCUGGUCCAUGUAUGAGUCUGUUGGAACACAGCGUCAUAGAGGGUGACAACCCCGUUCAUGACAUGGAUACCAGUGCUUUGUGAUACACUCUCGAAGAGUCGAGUUGUUUGGGAAUGCAGCUCAAAUUGGGUGGUAAAUUCCAUCUAAAGCUAAAUAUUGGCGAGAGACCGAUAGCAAACAAGUACCGUGAGGGAAAGAUGAAAAGCACUUUGGAAAGAGAGUUAACAGUACGUGAAAUUGUUGAAAGGGAAACGAUUGAAGUCAGACGUGCGUGAUGCGGUUCAGCACUGGUUCGCCAGUGUGUAUUCCGUAUCUUUGCAGGCCAACAUCAGUUUCGGUAGUCGGAUAAAGGUUAGUUGAAUGUGGCACCUUCGGGUGUGUUAUAGCUUCUAACUGAAUACGAUUUCUGGGACUGAGGAACGCAGCGCGCCGCAAGGCAAAGGUUCCGACCUUUUCGCGCUUAGGAUGUUGGUGAAAUGGCUUUAAACGACCCGUCUUGAAACACGGACCAAGGAGUCUAA